AUAAACACACCGCCUGGGGAGUACGACCGCAAGGUUAAAACUCAAAUGAAUUGACGGGGACCCGCACAAGUAGUGGAGCAUGUGGUUUAAUUCGAAGAUACGCGCAGAACCUUACCAACACUUGACAUGUUCGUCGCGACUCUAAGAGAUUAGAGUUUUCGGUUCGGCCGGACGAAACACAGGUGCUGCAUGGCUGUCGUCAGCUCGUGUCGUGAGAUGUUGGGUUAAGUCCCGCAACGAGCGCAACCCUCACUUUUAGUUGCCAUCAUUAAGUUGGGCACUCUGAAAGAACUGCCAGUGAUAAGCUGGAGGAAGGUGGGGAUGACGUCAAGUCCUCAUGGCCCUUACGUGUUGGGCUACACACGUGCUACAAUGGCAUCUACAACAGGAAGCAAAACGGCAACGUUAAGCAAAUCCCGAAAAGAUGCCUCAGUUCGGAUUGCACUCUGCCACUCGAGUGCAUGAAGCUGGAAUUACUAGUAAUCGUGGAUCAGCGUGCCACGGUGAAUGCGUUCCCGGGUCUU
rnacentral:rRNA from 1 species